AAAUGCUACAAAAUUGUGAAAAAAUAUAAAUGUUUUGUGCUUGUGAAAAAAUUAUCUGCAAGUCCUAUUAUACCGAUAUUUUCGCGAAAACGUUUUGAAGCAUUACGAGAGAAUUGAGUUCUCACAAGUGCGUACACAGAACUCGUCUGUGAAGAGAGGAAAAUUGUAUUGUUGUAGUCCGAUUUCUUAGUAUUCUUUGUUAUUAUGUGUUGCACUAAUGUGUGUAUAUCUAGUGAUAUAUAAGAUAUCAAGCUAUUAAUUAAAAUUUGAAUAUUCAGUACGUAAUUGAUACGUGAAUGAUGAAUGACCGACAUGGUCUAUGUGAAAUGUCAUCAACGGUUUAUUCGCUUUGUUUAUGGGAUUAAGAAACCAGCCUUAGAAUUCGCCAUAAUGCAUUCAAUGCCGCAUAUAACAAUAUAAUCACAUUUAGUGUCCAACUUCGAAAUAUAGGACGUUUUCUCCAGCAAAUUUCUAUUAUCUUCCUUGUUCACUGGAAUGCAGAAUCCCUCUGUAACAUUACAACUCGUAACCAUUCAAAUUAGCAUCGUAUGAAAAAAAGUUAAAGGACUUAUCACACAGUGUGUAGGCAGCUUAAUGGAACAUACAAAUAUUAUCCUCAAUAGACACGUAGAAAAAUCCAUUUAUCAAAUCCAAGCACAAUCUUUCACGAAAACAAGAACUACCGGAGAAGAAUACUCUAACAAACUUGCCCUUAUACUACCCUCCUUCAGCCAUUCCUUGACUUUUUAGUCUACGGUGUGUUAAUCGGCAAAAGGCAUCCUUC